rnacentral:rRNA from 1 species
UACCAGCACCUCAAGUGGUCAGGAUGAUUAUUGGGCCCAUAGCAUCCGUAGCCGGCUCUGUAAGUUUUCGGUUAAAUCUGUACGCUUAACGUACAGGCUGCCGGGAAUACUGCAGAGCUAGGUAGUGGGAGAGGUAGACGGUACUCGGUAGGAAGGGGUAAAAUCCUUUGAUCUAUUGAUGACCACCUGUGGCGAAGGCGGUCUACCAGAACACGUACGACGGUGAGGGAUGAAAGCUGGGGGAGCAAACCGGAUUAGAUACCCGGGUAGUCCCAGCUGUAAACUAUGCAAACUCAGUGAUGCAUUGGCUUGUGGCCAAUGCAGUGCUGCAGGGAAGCCGUUAAGUUUGCCGCCUGGGAAGUACGUACGCAAGUAUGAAACUUAAAGGAAUUGGCGGGGGAGCACCACAAGGGGUGAAGCCUGCGGUUCAAUUGGAGUCAACGCCAGAAAUCUUACCCGGAGAGACAGCAGAAUGAAGGUCAAGCUGAAGACUUUACCAGACAAGCUGAGAGGUGGUGCAUGGCCGUCGCCAGCUCGUGCCGUGAGAUGUCCUGUUAAGUCAGGUAACGAGCGAGAUCCCUGCCUCUAGUUGCCACCAUUACUCUCAGGAGUAGUGGGGCGAAUUAGCGGGACCGCCGCAGUUAAUGCGGAGGAAGGAAGGGGCCACGGCAGGUCAGUAUGCCCCGAAACUCUGGGGCCACACGCGGGCUGCAAUGGUAACGACAAUGGGUUUCGAAUUCGAAAGGAUGAGGUAAUCCUCAAACGUUACCACAGUUAUGACUGAGGGCUGCAACUCGCCCUCACGAAUAUGGAAUCCCUAGUAACUGCGUGUCACUAUCGCGCGGUGAAUACGUCCCUGCUCCU